AUGGCUCAAUGGUUCAGAGCCCUGGUUAUUCUUCCAGAGGACCUGGGUUCAAUUCCCAGU
rnacentral:tRNA from 1 species